CAUUUCCUAUCACGUGGUGCUAUUUGCACAUUUUUACAGAAAUAUUUCUUUCACAAAUAAUUAUAUAAUCCCAUUUUUCCAUUCCUGUCUUAAACUUUGCAAAAUCACAGAGAGCCCAUUUUUGAUCCAAAUGCCAUGAUUCAAAUUCCUUGGUGUUCCUAAGUUCAUAACUUAGUUUAUGAACAUUUUUAUUAAUACCUUCUGUACCACAUAAAUUAUUGAGCCAUUUCUUCAUAUUUACCAACUUUGCAAAUUCAUAGGAAAUUCAUGUGAACUCCAAAUCCAGUGAAACUAAUUCCUAGAUUCUUCUAAAAUUAUCCUUUGUUAAAUGGGUGCCUUGGCUCAUUUUUCAAAAAUAUGUUUCUGUACACUUCUUGCGAAUCCAUAAACCUCUCGAUUACAUCAUAUCAAAAUGUUUAGAAAUAUCCACUGACCCAAUUCCCAUGAAACCACUCUGAUUGUUUUUCAUAUAACCAGAGAUGUACUAGAAAAGUCAAACCAAUAUUUUUGGAGCACUUCUAUUUUCUACCUUGUUGUGUUGCUUAUUGUGGUUGUUUUCGACAAUAGUUGACGAAGUAGACGAAAUGCUCGGAGUUGGACCAGAGAUAUUUGAAGACCUCGAAGACUUUGUUAAAACAGGCAAGCAGCCCUUUUGACCAUGCCUAUGAAACCCUUUUUAUGCAUUUCAUAUAGCACUUUACUCUUGUUGCAUCGGAAUCAUGAUGAGAGGGUAGCCACUUGGUGGGUUGCCUUCAUUCCCUCCUUGUUGAUACUUGCAUUGUGCAUUACCCUACCUCCUUAUGAGGGUUUUGCCGAUGGGAAUAGAUAGAAUGCUAAAGUAGUACUACGAAAAGGGACGGGAAAAUGCAUGGUGAUGGAGGAAAGUACUUUCAAAGGAUUUUUCGAAAACCCCGUCGGGUGCCACUUAUGCCCGAGCGAGGCAAUGAGAUGGGUAACCACUUGAUGACGAAGUGGUGUGCCGAGGUAAGUGUGUGUGUUGUUUUUCGAAAACGGAUUAGAUUUAAGAUUUGUCGACUGUCCCAACCUUACAUGCGCAACCACUCUACCCUUAUAUGGGAAAGGGCAUUAUUGAUUACUUAGGCCGAUACUAGCUUGGAGCCCGCAUUACUAGUGACGGGGGAGAGUUGGUGCUCUCUCUCGGGACGGGGUCGUGCCAGGUAGGGCGGCCAUGAGCAUUUUCACAGGGCACCGGAUACACCGUUGUGUCCCCUCUCGGAUGCUACGAUCUCUAGUGAGUCUCGUAUGAUGUGCAUCAUGAGGAUACGGAACAACGAGUGGACUCCUUGUUAGUGUCGUCUAGGGAAAGAUAGUGAUCGGGUGCUUACCCUGGGUACUUGAGGUACCGCGGGUCGUGGAUGACACGGAAGUUCCCCGAAUCUUGUGGGUAAAGUGUGCAACCUCUGUAGAGUGUAAAACUAUUCUAAUAGCCGUGUCCAUGGUCAAGGACAGUUGGGCGGUCCUGCUUAAACUACGUCCACAUGUUUACAAACCAGUGUGUGUUUGGGUAAGUGGGAAGAACUACUUGGGUCAAGUCAAGGGACUUGACAUGAUUGAGUUGGGUUGGUGCCCACUCUUUUUAUGAUGAUACCACUACUCGGGUCAAGUCAAAGGACUUGACAUGAUUGAGUUGGGUUGGUGCCCACUCUUUUUAUGUUGAUAUCUGUAACCUGUCCUCUUGGUUACUUGAAUUCUCCUGAUGCAUGUCUUACGAGUUGUUGAACAUGUCAUUGCACUCAAAGACUAGCUUUCCGCAAUGAUUUACCUAUAUCAUGCAUUGUUGUAUCUUGAACCAAAACAUGGGUUGCUUGCGAGUACAUUCAAAGUACUCAUUGGCUUGCCACUGGUUAUUUUAUUGGCCAGGCAUAAAAGAACAGGAUAUGAAGAAGAAUGCUUUGGUGACGAACAUGCGAGCUAGGACGCUUCCCAGUCAGAAUGCCUGUAGGGUUAAGGCAGAUGGCUUGGGUCCAAGUUAUCGACGAAGAUUUCCGCUGCAAUGUUAUACUCAAGACUUGACCAUAAUGGUCCUACUUGUGUAAUACGGUAUGUACGGAUGUAAGACUCUUGUUAUUCAGCUUCUGUGUGUUCAGUGAGCAUUGAUCUCUGGGAUCACUGUACACGUGCAUUCGGUGAUCACGACUUAUGAGUCGGGGUCCCCACAGAGCUGGUAUCAGAGCCAUCCUGACUGUAGGAAGCCUUAGCUAGCAUGAUCGUUAGUUAGGGUAAAACUAUUUCCAAAACUACUACCAGUUUUCAAAACUAUCUAUACUUCUCUUCCCUUCUCAGUUUUUCGAAAAACUAAGGUAUAGUUUCCUUAUCAAUCUCUUCCCUUCAAAACUAUUGCAAAUGGUCGCUAGCACCCUCAAGCCCCUAACCACGGGAUUCCUUGUAAUCCUCGUGGAUAAUCUAGAAGGAAGAUGCUUUGCCAGACAUUCACCUACAUCUCUUGAGCACAAGAUUGGCGACAUCACAACAAGACGAUACCAACAGAAGAUACAUCCUCGAAGGAUGAGGACCUGAAGACCCAGGAGAUGGUGACACCCUUGACACUACGACAAGAUGAUGCAACCCUAGCCUACGAUGAUCGGGCAUAGGAUAUGCAAGAUCAUGAUAUACAUCGCUGAUAGAGUAACCCUGUAACUACCGUUGUUAUAUCGGCGACCACCGGUGGAUGAGAACCUAGCCAUUUGGUCCGCCUCACUAUAGUGAGUAGGGAAACGGUUCUCUUCAUCCCCCGCUCUUGGUGUCGACGUUGUCAUCAACGUAGCCGACAUGUUGGACCUCUACUAUGCCUUGUUAAUAUCACUGCAUAAAGGAUUAUCUACCUGGUACCAUCGACGGCUUAGAAGAUAAAACGGGAUCGUCAUGAUUAAGAAGACAAUAGAAGACCGAGUCAAUGCCAGCUACAAGGAGCCACCUUCACCCCAUCACUUCAACAGGCGAGAAGUUGUUGAAGAAUCUUCAGGCUCAACCUGGAUCGUUUCAUCGAACAACUACAAGAGACAUAGCAACACCUGAGGAAAACUCAGAAGACUACAUGAGGCUCAAGGCACGACUACUUAGUCCGGGAACCCCUGGGUAGGAUGAGUCGUGUACCCCCUAUGCGCAGUCGAGUUCGUAUGAUGGUUCGAAUAGAACCAUGAUUGUUUGUUGCUUGUUUUUAUUUGUUUGUGUUUUGAUAUCAGUUGCCCUUUUUGCCCUAGGCAAUAAGUACACGACUAUAUCACCUGCCUUAUUUUGUUGUUUGUGUUGGCCCUUUUGGCACUUGUUUGUUGCACCUGCACUAUAGAACCCUCUUUAGGCAUCCCCCCUCUAUGGUACCUAUCCCUCUCAUCUCUCUCCUCAACUGAUGACCGGCAAGACAAGCUACACCAAGGAUUCUGCCUCGGCAACCGACUAGCAAUGAAGACUUCUGCUACAACCUCCACGACCAAGUGCAACCCCGUAGAAUUAUGUUUAACUCUCCAGACUAGAAACCCAUUCCUAGACCCUUCGAGACUUUACGAGAUACCCCAGCUCGAGUCCUUAACCAUGUGCUUAACCCAUAGAAUUGCAAGAGAACCAGUUAAGUCUCUAUAGACCUUGCACAACACUGGGUUCAUUAUGGAACUAGUGGACAUAGUGAACGAGCACAUUAUCAUCCUAAUAUAGCACCAGAACGGACGAUGCCAUAAGGAAGACUAGGUUGAGGAUAUAGGAAUAGAGGACAAAUGAUUUGAUGAGUUUAUAUCAAUGACUUUGAGGAAUCAUCUGAGACUAUUUGGUGGAUUAUGAGGCUUUGAUGUUGGAAGAUGAACUUGGUGGGAGCAUUAGUAAAGAUUAGGAUAGCUUUCAUUACCCCUGGAGUAAAUUGGAUUUUGUGGGACAAUUAUAAUCGCAAGAGGAAUUUCUUGGAAGUAUAAGGAUUUGACUGAGCCAGGGGAUAUGAUAGAAGAUAGUUGACAUUAUGUAAUGACUUGAGGGAAUAGAUAGGAAUUCUCGUUGGACAUGAGAUUGGAUCCAAUACGUUAUCCUAGUGGAGUAUGGAUGCUGAGUAAUUCUACAUGGUUCGGAGUAAAUUGGAUUUAGACUGAUGAUCUCGAUGAUGAUACCACGAUUCUUGGAGGACAAUAAACUAGGAGAUUGGAUUAAUUGUCGGAGUUGAUAUAAGCUUGACCUUGGAGUUUACUGACCAUGAUAAUGGAAAUUGGUGGACUUACUAUAGUAGAGACAGCCCUUUCAAGCAUUAUGGACUUUAGGAGAUCAUGAGGAACAUCAUAAACAUUGGAUUUGUAGAAUUAAAUGGAUUAUGUAGUGAUUGAUGAAAGCUAAUGGGUUGUUGGUUGAUUCAUAGGAAGGAAACAAGAUCUUGGAGUGGCUUACGACGUGUUUCCUUAGGAUAGAGGUGCUUUAUCUUAGACCUUGGAAGAAGAGGCCGAGCACUUGGAUUGUCGUGUUUUAUUCCAGCCUGGAAGCUUGUAUGCUCUACCCAUGGAUUUUUUAGAGGUAGCCAUACAUAUGAGUUUGGGGAUCGUAGACAUAUAUGAUUUUGUUAGACCUUCUCCAAGUCCCGAGCAUAUAGAUGACAUGAGUGAUGAUUGGAGCUGACCUACAAGAGUUGAUGCUUUCGGUGGUAUAAGGUUAUUUGUUUAAAGGACUGCAUAGAAUAAUUGGCAUCUCAGGAACCGUGCUUAAGGAUAAGGUGACAAACGUUCGCUCGGACACUAGAAUCCUUGAAACCCUUAAGCCCCACCAAGCCACGAUAUGGUCAGAAUCACAACCACGGGCUUUGGCUCUAGGACAAGGAAACCUUGGCCAAUACCCAACCAUGACCACCACUGAUACCCCAACCUAUACCCUAUGUACCCCGUGGGCAAGUCUUCACGGAGUACUCGGACAAGUAAUUGUCAUCCUUCCUUGAUGACAUACUUGUCUACCCGAAGACGGUAGAAGAAUCACUGAGCUGGUGAAGAAAACAUUUGAAGACCGCCAUGCCAAGGAGGAAGAACUAUACCAACCACCGUCGCCAAGAAAUAAACGUCCGCGAUGAAGGCCAGGAGUAUCUGCAAGUCACUUCACUCAAUGGGACCAAGCAUUUCCAUGUCAAAGGGAAGCUCACACCAAGAUUUAUCGGCCCUCUCAAAGACCACUGCAAGAUGAAGAAUAGACGGCUACCAGCUAGAGUUAUCACCUGAGUCACCCACUGUGCACGAUGUUUUUCCACACGACACAACUCCGGAAGUGUUUCCUACUUCCUAUCUAGCCCGGUCUCUGCAAGGACAUCAAACACCGAACCAUUGACCCCCAGCCCAAUAUGACCUACGCGAGAGACCCCAAUUGCAUUCUGGAUCAAGCAGGACGACAAAUACGAAGCCAUGCCAUCAAGUACUUCUAGUUCAAUGGAGCACCAAAUGGAAGUAGAAGCAGUAUGAGGACGUGAAGACUACCCCAAAUCCAAGUUUCUGUAUUCCUUUCCACGCUUAAGCUAUUAAAUCAUGAUAAAAUGAGGUUUUACAAAAACUUUUGAGUGUUUUGGACUUUGCUUGAUUGGAUUUUUUUUUGUUGUUUGCAAGUGCUCUAAAAAUCAAAUAAAUCCUCCAACUCUUAUACUCCUUCUCCUUGAUCCAAAACCUUUUCCCAAUGAUCAUACCAUGUGUAUAGAGAAAUAUAAUAUUUCCUUACAAAAAUAAUUUGGCCAAAAAGUAUUUUCCAAAAUUAGUUUUCCAAAACCCCUUGAAUUGAGAUUUGCACUGCAAGUACUUGAUUUGAGGUGUAAAAAAUCUUUCCAAAAGUUUAUUUGAAACCUAUUAGAUAUAGGACUCCCUUAAACCACAAAAAUAUAAUUUUAAAAGUUAUUUUCUUAUUUUAUUUAAAAGCUUUUCUUAAGGCCAGAAAUGGUCUUUAAUAGGGAAAAAUUAUUUUAAUGUUUCAAAAAUAUUUGAGAAACUUUAGGGAAACUCAAUGGACAUAUAUUGUCCAUAUAUAAGAGUUUCAACACAUGGUCAUGUUCAAAAUAUUGGUCAAAUCCCUCAAAAACCAUUUCUGCCCAUUUCAAGGAUUUGAAAUAUUUCUACAGGAAAUAUUUUCAUAAAAAUCCAAGAAAAUUCUAGCAUGUCACAUAUGACAUGUUUGAUGAUCUUGCCAAGUCUCAUGUCAUGGAGAAUAGUAUAACCCCAUGAAACCCUCUCAAAACCAGUUCUGUCCUUUUUCAAGUUUGAACAGCUUUGCAUUGUCAAACAUGUCCAAAUGCUCUCAAACUUGGUGCACAUGCUCAAAUGGUGUAGUAAUGCAUCUAGACCAGAUGGCACAAGUUGGAGAGAAUGUUAUCUUGAUCAAAGUACCCCAAAACCCUCUCUGCCCAGAACCAUAUUUGAACAAGUCUACAUUGGAAACUUUCUCAUCUUGAUCUCAACUUUUGUGGACAUGUUCAAGACCUCAAAUGAUGACACUACACUAAGUGGUGCAUCAAGGAGAAUAGUUUUGCAUGACUAGAUCUUGGAAAACCCAUUUCUGUUGAUUUCUAGGGUUUACCAAAGUUACAUUGGCAACUUUGCCCACAUGAGCUAAAAAUUGGUGGAAGGUCCUAAUUAUAUGUGACGUUUCAUCCUGUGGAGUCUCAUGGAAAAUGGAAAUCAUAUGCUUGCCCAAACCACCAUCAAACACCUUCUGGCAGAAAUUUAGAAUGCAUGUUUUGGCCAUUUCCACUAAUCUCCAUGAGCUAAUCUUUCUCCCACAACAUCAUCUGGUCCUCCUCUAACCCCUGCAUCUUUCCCUGCCCGAGGGGCCAUGAUGAUGGGGGUGAAAAGCUCUUUUUCCCUCUCUGGACAACACCAUUUCUCUCUCUCUCAACCUCCCUCCUCACUCUAGUGGAUCCCCAUUGCAUCCAAUGCCAUUGUCACAUUGUUUACUCCCACCUGUAGCUUCCAGACACAAGUGGGCGCGUGAGGACGCGAGAAAAAGCCGCGGGUGCCGGCCAUUUGCGCGCUCUGGAGCAUGUCAGCGUGCUCCCGACCGUUGAUGCCGCAUCCCCCGACCACCUCGAGCCUCCCCCUCGUGCCAGUCGAGGUGCCUCGAUGUCCGCAACACGCCACCGUGCAGGCCUCUUCCUUUCCCUCUCUCUCUCACCUCCUACGGCGCAUGCCCAGAGCCGCCCGGCUCGGCCAAUGCUCGGCGUCACAUGUGCGAGCACUAGAGCCUCGCCCCGGUUCCUCUCUCUCUUCUUGGCACCCUACACGACUCCCACGAACGACGUAGACAACUCCUCUCCCUCCCUCCUGGCCUCCCGAGCCGUUGCCGCGGCCACCCGUGCGCCGCGUCCACGGUGAGCUACGGGUCGGCUAUUUAAGGCCACCCCUGAGCCCCCUCUCUACUCCUUUGGCUCCCUCUCCCUCUCAUGCACCCCUGGACAAACCCACACCCCUCCGCGUGUCUUCCGUUCACCGCAAUGGCCGUAGCGCCGCAGUCGGGCUCCGCCUGAAUCCGGGCUAUCCCGAGCCUCUCCUCUCUCCCUAGCCACUCCAGUAUCCUCAUACCACCACCUCGAGGGCCUCCAUCACCGUCAUUCAUCCCCGGGAACGUCACGCGCUCGUGGCCGAAGAUGGCCGACAGCCUCCUCCACGGCCACCCAAGCCAUCGCUGCUGCAGCCGUCCACGGCAUGCGUGCAGCACAUGGAUGGGUGCGGCGUGGCCUCCUGAGCACGCCGGUGGGCGGAGCGUCGCCGGAGAUGCUCUGUAGCCCCGGCAAUCGCCGGCGGGAGCCGCUCCUCGCCGCGGUCGGAGCACGCGCGGGAGGUUGAGGACGAACCUGCAGACGGGGCCCGCUCGUCAGUGGCCCAACCACGAGGCCACGCUGGCAAGUGGAGGCGGAUUCCAUGUCUCCCGCGUCCCCGCAGCGAAGGCGCACUCCGCGUGGGCGCCUUCGACGUCACCCUGUCACCCGUGCAGCUAGGCCGGCCCAAUGCCUAUCUCUCGCCCAGUGCGGAGAAUAAGGGUAUAGCCCUUUUCUUAUUUUCUUUUCCCAGAUAACUUGUAAAAUCCAUAGAUUAUUUAUUCUAAGUCCAAAUUUGAUGAAUCUAAUUUCUAUAAGUUCAUAAAUUCAUUUCCUAUCACGUGGUGCUAUUUGCACAUUUUUACAGAAAUAUUUCUUUCACAAAUAAUUAUAUAAUCCCAUUUUUCCAUUCCUGUCUUAAACUUUGGAAAAUCACAGAGAGCCCAUUUUUGAUCCAAAUGCCAUGAUUCAAAUUCCUAGGUGUUCCUAAGUUCAUAACUUAGUUUAUGAACAUUUUUAUUAAUACCUUCUGUACCACAUAAAUUAUUGAGCC
rnacentral:lncRNA from 1 species